rnacentral:lncRNA from 1 species
UGCAAACCCACCUGUGCACAGUUACACCUGGUUUAAGAGAUCAGGAACACAGGAUAUAGAAGUCGGAUAUGCGAACAGUUACACCAUCAAAAACAUCGCCAUUACAGACAACAACUACAAGUGCAGGGCUUCCAACAAGCACGGAUCUGCAUUCUCAGAGUACCAGACACUUAAUAUUUUAUGUAAGUAGCAAUUUUUAUAACAAUAUUAUUUAUUAUAAGAAUUACUUGAGAACUUUCUGGUCAAUAAGGCCUUCAGAUACAGGAAGCCUUGUUGUACUACGAAGUACUGUACUGUUCUGUUUGCCCACCUACAUUCUUUUAGACUCCCCAACGGAGGCCUCUACGUCUGUGAUUCUGACAUGCAGAGCUGAUGGGAACCCACCUGUAGAGUAUAUCUGGUACAGAGAAGGGGAAAUCACACCUGUGGCAUACGGGCAGACCUACAGGAUUACCAGUUUCAGUAAAGACAACAUUGCACAGUUCUACUGUACAGCUGGUAAUGGAAUUGGGCCUCGGAAUGCAGUUUCUGUACCGGUCACCUUUACAGAAGAGUGUCAUAAAGCACAGGUUGCAGCUGCUGGCAUUGGUGGAUACUGUGGUGGUCUCAUUACAGCAGCUCUCUUCUACGUUCUGUGGAUGAGGUGGAAGAAGCAGAAUGGAAAUGAAUCUGAGGUACGUAAGAGCAGGAGGAAGUUCGGAAAAAACACGGCAAUCGAAGAGGAUUAUGAGAACGUUGACCCAGAGUUCAAGGAUGACACAUACAACACUCUUAAUCCAAGGACCGGCUCCACAAACGAUGUGUACGAAACUCUAGCGACUACGGGCAGUGCCACCUGUGCCAUGACAGAGGUGUAGAUCCACAGAUCACCCUCUUCCUCAUCCUCUGACUCCAGUUCUGUGAAUCCGUCAUCCGAACCAUCAAAGGGAUACUGAAACCACUGAGCAGACUGAGCCCAAGAGGAGAAGCAAAGGAACCACUGAGAAUAAGAAGCUAAUGCUUGCAGUUUAUGCUAAAGGUUGAUGCUUAAAACACAGUUUUAACAUGUGUGAGAUCAUUAUUUACCUGCCUAAGCUUUAAAAGAGCCUAUUCAGAUUUUCCUAGUUUCCCUAGUUCGGCAAAAUAGUAUAUUCAUGAAUUAACUACUAAUGCUUAGUUGCCUUUGUUUUCUUUAGUUUUGAUUAAAUAUGUUAACUUGUUCUUUGAUGAUAAAAGAAUAACAGAGUGUGCCUUUGGUUGUGGUUAAAAUGUUCAUAUAUUACAAGACCUAAAUUAAAGCAUAGUUUUUACACUGUAACAAAAAUACAGAGUCUUACUAUAUAUCUCUACUGUCCUCUUCUUGCAUCUUUUAGACUUGAAGAUGAUCAGGUGGGGUGGUAACCAAAUGUUACAGCCCCUCCUGAAAGUCUAGAUGUAAGAGAGGCAUAUAACAUGCAGUGAAGGGUGAUUGGGUGGGUCUGUGCUGGUGAGACCGUAAGGGAGAAAAACACACUGGAAGAGCAGUAUUCCCAAUGCAACAUAGCUAUAUUCAGUAAAUUGUUCAAAAAAGGGAACUUUUUGUGUCUGGGAGAUUUCAGAGCCGCUCAGUCAGACUGUACUACAUGUUAAAUGCUUCUCUUACACCAUACCUGUAUAAAACACACUUGCUGCUUGGCAUUUUUUUACAUUAUUGAAAUGUGUUCCUUUAUAAUAAUGAAACAAACCAUCCCUGCUUAAAAAAAAAAUGAAUAAAUCUUUCCAAACUGUGGAAAAAAU